rnacentral:rRNA from 1 species
UACGUAGGGACCGAGCGUUGUCCGGAAUCAUUGGGCGUAAAGAGCGUGUAGGCGGCCACUUAAGUCCUGCGUGAAAUCUUGCGGCUCAACCGCAAGCGGUCGUGGGAAACUGGGUGGCUAGAGUGCGGGAGAGGAGAGUGGAAUUCCUGGUGUAGCGGUGGAAUGCGCAGAUAUCAGGAAGAACACCCGUGGCGAAGGCGGCUCUCUGGAACGCAACUGACGCUGAGACGCGAAAGCGUGGGGAGCGAUCCGG